UACCAACGAUAUGGCUUGCUACAGCGCUGAUUUUAUGGAUUAUACGAAACAAGAGCGUAGUUUGUGGUACUAAGGAUUCCAGCAAUAGCUGUGAGAUGACUCCUGUGACAGACG